GACGAACGCUGGCGGCGUGCUUAACACAUGCAAGUCGAACGGAAAGGCCCUGCUUUUGUGGGGUGCUCGAGUGGCGAACGGGUGAGUAACACGUGAGUAACCUGUCCUUGACUUUGGGAUAACUUCAGGAAACUGGGGCUAAUAUCGGAUAGGAGCUCCUGCUGCAUGGUGGGGGUUGGAAAGUUUCGGCGGUUGGGGAUGGACUCGCGGCUUAUCAGCUUGUUGGUGGGGUAGUGGCUUACCAAGGCUUUGACGGGUAGCCGGCCUGAGAGGGUGACCGGCCACAUUGGGACUGAGAUACGACCCAGACUCCUACGGGAGGCAGCAGUGGGGAAUAUUGCACAAUGGGCGGAAGCCUGAUGCAGUAACGCCGCGUGCGGGAUGACGGCCUUCGGGUUGUAAACCGCUUUCGCCUGUGACGAAGCGUGAGUGACGGUAAUGGGUAAAGAAACACCGGCUAACUACGUG
rnacentral:rRNA from 1 species